AGUGAACGCUGGCGGUAGACCUAACACAUGCAAGUCGAACGGCAGCACAGUAAGAGCUUGCUCUUACGGGUGGCGAGUGGCGGACGGGUGAGGAAUACAUCGGAAUCUACUUUUUCGUGGGGGAUAACGUAGGGAAACUUACGCUAAUACCGCAUACGACCUACGGGUGAAAGCAGGGGAUCUUCGGACCUUGCGCGAUUGAAUGAGCCGAUGUCGGAUUAGCUAGUUGGCGGGGUAAAGGCCCACCAAGGCGACGAUCCGUAGCUGGUCUGAGAGGAUGAUCAGCCACACUGGAACUGAGACACGGUCCAGACUCCUACGGGAGGCAGCAGUGGGGAAUAUUGGACAAUGGGCGCAAGCCUGAUCCAGCCAUACCGCGUGGGUGAAGAAGGCCUUCGGGUUGUAAAGCCCUUUUGUUGGGAAAGAAAAGCAGCAGGUUAAUACCCCGUUGUUCUGACGGUACCCAAAGAAUAAGCACCGGCUAACUUCGUG
rnacentral:rRNA from 1 species